AGACACGUGGGUUGGAGCAGCGUCGCGUUUCUGGGCAAUUGCUCCUGAGACCCAACAGGCAGCAACGGUCCCAAGGUCUUUCUGCCCCCGAUAACAGAAAAUCUCUUUUUCGUCUUAAAAAAAAAAAAAAAAAAAAAAAAAGCCUGUGGAAGACUCAGCAGAACCCAGGAAGCGCAGAAUUGGGAGAAAAGUCUUUGGCUGGGGCUGUUUCAAGUCUCUGGUUCAAUGGGCUGCUCGAAGCCAGGACUGGGUAAUUCUUUCCAGACGUCUUGACUUCUCCUUCCCCGCCGUUGUUGCCCUUCUGCCUCCUCCAACUUAAGGGGGUCUUAACAAGAUCUUCUGAGGGGUGGACUUCUUUGGAACUCGACAGGACCUUGAAGACUGGGUUCUUAGUCCUUAUCACAUAUAUGGGCUAUAAUGAAUAAGUCUAAACAGAAAAGUCGAAUAAACUGGAAAUGAUGCUUUCAUCACGUCGCACAAGAAAAACACAUUUGUUGUUUCUCGCCUCUUGUAAUUCAUGACCCAUAAGACAAAAGUAAAAUGUUCUCUGACUGCAAAUGGAUGUAAAAACUGAUUAUACAGCUACACAUUUCUGUCAUCCUCCCAUCUCUACCCCAAAGAAAGAGGAGCUGUUUGGAUCAGAAGAUGACAUCCUUUCACCCAUCCCUUUCAGGUUUUGACAUCCUAAAAUGUACCUUAUGGAACCCAUACCUGUUAUGUUUUCACCUGUACAAGGCAACAGAGAAAACAUGGGAGGAAGCAAAGUGAAGAACACAGAUUUCACAGAUGGGAUGCCUGGCUCAAAUUCCAGCUUGACCGCUGGUAGCUGUGUGACCCUCGGCAAGUUACUUGACCUCUCUCUACUCAGUGUCCUCAUCUGUCAGGAAUUCAAGUGGAGAGACUUUCCCAGGUUUCUGUGCUGUAGCCAAGUCAAAUGAGCCAUGUCUUCCUAAUAAAGUAAAGAAAAGGUGUAAUGAGAUUCACUGAAGAAUUCUCAGAGUGGAAUGAGCAACAGAUUUUCAUUAGCGAAAGCUCCUCUAGCUGCUGCAUGAAAUGAUGUCUAGACAGAGCCAUUUUUAGAUCUUCCAUUGGAUUGGGAACGUGAAAAUGGCACAGAAAGAGAAAGAACAUGCCAAGAAGUGGGGGCACUCAGGCACUUGCAUCAGCUGCCUUGCAACAGUGAAUGAUAAAGAAAAUACUAUCAUAAAAGGGAUACAAUACAUGGUCCGUGACUGCAAAACCAUAUUAAAGUUCCUGUUCAUUGA
rnacentral:lncRNA from 1 species